UGACACCGAAGUCGGCAAUGCGCAACCUUCCGUCACAGCCGAGAAGCAAAUUGGCUGGCUUGAUGUCACGAUGGACGACAUGAUUGCGAUGCACUGAUCAUUUGACGAAUACAAAUUACUCAAUUCCUAACAACAAAUCACGAAAGUGUAUCCUGGCUUGAUUUUCUUCCAUCGGAUUACCGUUCGACUCAUCUGACACAACUGCUCCCAGAUCAAGUAAUUCAAAAGCUGGAAUUUUCCAAAUGAAUAAGAUGCGAUCCAGCGGAUGAGAUGUCGAUCCAGUGCUUCCUUUAUCAGAUUUCUUUCUUUGCGGGGCUAGUCGACCGAAGAAACCGGCCCUUUUCAACAUUUUCUUCUUGGAAAGGAUUUUCAUGGCCUUAUUUUUAAAAAAAGGUUAUCUGGAAUAUAGCGAACUUACCUGGCCGAUAAAUUCUCUUAGCGAGUAUUGGUUGAUUUGGGUCAAAAUACAGAAGAAACCAAUGUAAGCAAUACUACCUGAUGCAUAAUUUGGUCGUUGCAGCAUCAAGAAUUUAAUCAGGCCGACAAUCACGAAGGCACAGGGCAAAACUAACAGGAUGACCAUUGGUGUUUAUGUGCUGCCGAGCCACAAGAAGCUUCUCCACUGCACGCGUCUCGCAGGUGAAGUGAAGGAACUUCUUUUUGUUUUGUUUGUCGAGCAAAAGGGAACUGACGCAACAGGUUUUUUUUUAAGUAAAAAAAUCCCCGCAGACACGCACCGCAGAAAAUAAGGAUAGUACGGACUUGGGAAGAAAAAGAGACGUAAUUCGAAAAUCAACCAUCACAGGAGCCUCGGGCGUGAAUAAUCAAAACAAAGCAAUAAUCUAUCGGCAAAAAUUUGGCAAAAAUUAAAAGUGUGAAAGGAAUACUAUAUUUGGAGCAAGGGAGGAGUUAUUUAACCAGUUUAAAAAAUACCUUUGAUUAUUUAAAAAUGACAAUCUGUAAAAAAAAAACACGUUUGUUAAAGGAAAAGCACCUGAAGCGUUUACGUGCGUAACGAGCUGAAACACAACACGCAUCUAUUUAAGAUAGACAAUGACCUUCACAAUUUCUUGUCAACAACGGAAACUUGUAUCAACAAAUGUUUCGUCCCCGUUUAACCAUCGAUAAGGUUGUGACGUGUGUUGCCGGAAACGGCAGAAGGAAGUGUGGAGCAAUCGACCAAUCGUUACUUUUCAAUAAUGAAUUGGGCUAUCAAAAAUUCAAAUGCGUGCACAGCUGACGUUUCCGUUUCGUGUCUUGAUUAGUGCUCCGGAAGAUAAGCAACGAAGACAAAAGAAACGCCAGCAAACAUUACUUAACCGAGUCGGUCGCCCACCUGAACGGCCGCACCCCAGUCGUCUACUACAGGGCAGACAGCAUACGAGGCUACAUACUGCGAAUGCAAGCCAUCGUACUCCUCAUAUUCGGCCCCGGCCUACCAAGCCCCGUCUUCACCAGUCUACAGGGCACAUGCCAGCCACUCCUGCCUAGUGCCUAUACGUCCCUCCUCGUGCUCCUACUUAUGGAUUUGUUCAGCACCUACAUUAUUAAAAAUACCCGACUAAAGAACUCCAGCACGACAGUAGAACUCCACAACGCGACAAUAGAACUCCAAUAAAUUCUUUAAUUAUUUUUAUGAUCAACAAUAGAACUACAUCGAAUUUUAAAUGUCCGACAAUAGAACUCAAAUGAUUUUAACACUAUUUUCAUAUCCGACGGUAGAACUCGAUAGAAUUUUAAAUAUCUCAAAUGUCCGACAAUCCAUCCAUCCUUGAUUCCUAAUUCCGACAAUCCAUCCAUCCUUGAUUCCUAAUCCUUUCCGUACAGUCAAACAUGGUAAUCGUGGAAGAAUCUUUUGGCUCCGUCAGUAGAUGGCUAAAAUCAAGUAUUCAAAUUGUCCCCCAGCCGCCAGAUGACGCGAGUGUCUUUGAGAGGACGAAAUAUUCGCCAUUCUGUUCCGAAACGUCAAGUGAAAAGGUAUUCCGAAUUCGUUACGGAAUUGCGGUGUCGAUCUACACUUUCAGCAUUGAAAUUUAAUGGCAAUCUGGCAUAUAAUUUCCUCUUGGCCAAAUAAUCCAUCACGUGGACUGAAACUGCUUUCCAUUUUGCCGAAAUGUCGUCCGUUGUUAGCUGUACCGGUUCGGAUGUACUUCUCAUCUCACGCAGAAACACUACAGAGUUGGUGUUCAGGUUGGAGAUCCUGUUGGUUAACUGUUGCCGAAUGUGAGAACUCAACAAAUUCUUAGUUCCAUGGCUGGAAUCAUGGCCACAGUGGUUUUGUUGCAGCCAGCUGGUGAAAGGUGUGCUCGAGUCAAGUUGAGCUGCAGCUGCUGCAUGCAAUUUAUCGAGCUGGUGUUAUCCUGAAGUGUCAUUGCAGGAAGACUUUUUGAAAUGGACUUUGCGGAACUUAAACUAUGCCUGUGCUGUUCAAGGUGAAGUGGUUUUGCAGCCUGUUUCCAGUUGAGAGAUGUGAUAUUGCAGCUGAUACAGGAUUGAAGAAAAAGAACUGAAGUAGCUGUGCUGGUGUUCUCCUGAAAUUGCUAUUCCACAGGAGUUGCAGAAAGUGUUUGGUUCUUCAUAGAAGUUAAUUCAAAGAGUCUGGAGAUGAUCAGCCACUUCUGCCUAUAACUUAUGUAAAACUUCAAAGUUGUAAGAAAUAUACAAGUCAAGUGCUAAA